UGGGGAAUUUUGGACAAUGGGGGAAACCCUGAUCCAGCCAUCCCGCGUGUAUGAUGAAGGCCUUCGGGUUGUAAAGUACUUUUGGCAGAGAAGAAAAGGUAUCCCCUAAUACGGGAUACUGCUGACGGUAUCUGCAGAAUAAGCACCGGCUAACUACGUGCCAGCAGCCGCGGUAAUACGUAGGGUGCAAGCGUUAAUCGGAAUUACUGGGCGUAAAGCGUGUGUAGGCGGUUCGGAAAGAAAGAUGUGAAAUCCCAGGGCUCAACCUUGGAACUGCAUUUUUAACUGCCGAGCUAGAGUAUGUCAGAGGGGGGUAGAAUUCCACGUGUAGCAGUGAAAUGCGUAGAUAUGUGGAGGAAUACCGAUGGCGAAGGCAGCCCCCUGGGAUAAUACUGACGCUCAGACACGAAAGCGUGGGGAGCAAACA
rnacentral:rRNA from 1 species